GGCAAUUGAAAUUUGAUAGGAGUGGAUUAUAGGUCCCUCAUUUCCAAAGCAGUGAUGAUUAAGUGGGCAGUGGUGAGAGAGGAUAUUUUAUAUAAGUGGGUAGAGACAAUUAUCCAACUCCUUCAAAUGUUUGGACUGACAAAUAGAGCCAAGUCCCACACUUUCCUCAUCAAUGGUUAUCAUCUCAUACACUCUGUCAGUUCAAAAGAAAAGAACCAAAAUGGACCAACCUCAAGUCACAAAAGAAACUGAAACUGGGGUUACUGGUUCAUUGGGACUUUUGACCAUGCUCCAGCAGUCUUCAUUUCUUGUUUUUCCUAUACAUUAAAAAAUGGUUUAUUAAUUUUUAUUCCUCAGACAAAAGCAAAACCAUGUAGCAGUGUGCCUUUGGGGUGUAAUGAGAAAGAAAGAGGUGAUGUCAAGUCAUGUGUGAAGCAGAGAAUUGCCUGCUCAGUCAUAUGAGCUGUUCAGUGAAGUGCCUUCUUUAUUGAAAGAUGCUAAAGAGAUAGACCCAUUU
rnacentral:lncRNA from 1 species